rnacentral:lncRNA from 1 species
AAUUGAUCCUCUAAGUGAGUCUUAGUACAAUUGUAUGUCUAAGAAGAGGAAUCAAGAAUUGAAGAAAUGGUUAAAUCAAUAAGUCAAUCAUACUUCGUUCCAAUAACAAGUCUUAAAGUUAAGAUUGUGACAUCGAGUGAAAAAGUAAGGUUUAUAACAUUCAUCAAUUGUGGAAAGUUGUGAUGUCUUGGAUAAGACAUAGACCAACUAGGACCAAAGUUAUGAAGUGUUUUGUUUUAAUAAAAGAUACACUAUAAGACAUAGACCAACUAGGACUAAAGUUAUGAAGUGUUUUGUUUUAAUAAAAGAUACACUAACUCUUGAAUAUUUGUUUGUCAAGAAAUGAUUAUUGACAAGAGAAUCUUAUAUGUCAAGGAGUCAGUGGGAGUCUUAUUGGUCUUGAAAGGCUUCAAGAACAAAUCAAAUAGACCUUAUCGAUCAUCACUAGCGCACGAGUUGAGGUUUGCAACCUAUCGUGUUGACAUUAUUUGGUUUCUGUG